CUGGCGGCGUGCUUAACACAUGCAAGUCGAACGAAAAGAGGGAAAGAGCUUGCUCUUUCCGGAAUUGAGUGGCAAACGGGUGAGUAACACGUAAACAACCUGCCUUCAGGAUGGGGACAACAGACGGAAACGACUGCUAAUACCGAAUGUGUUCCGGAGACCGCAUGAUUUCCGGAAGAAAGGAUGGCCUCUAUUUAUAAGCUAUAGCCUGAAGAGGGGUUUGCGUCUGAUUAGGCAGUUGGUGAGGUAACGGCCCACCAAACCUACGAUCAGUAGCCGGUCUGAGAGGAUGAACGGCCACACUGGAACUGAGACACGGUCCAGACUCCUACGGGAGGCAGCAGUGGGGAAUCUUCCGCAAUGGACGAAAGUCUGACGGAGCAACGCCGCGUGAGUGAUGACGGCCUUCGGGUUGUAAAGCUCUGUGAUCGGGGACGAAUGGCUGGUAUGCUAAUACCAUAUCAGAGUGACGGUACCCGAAUAGCAAGCCACGGCUAACUACGUG
rnacentral:rRNA from 1 species